rnacentral:rRNA from 1 species
CGCCUUGCCAGCCCGCUCAGAACUCAAAGGAAUUGACGGGGGCCCCGCACAAGCGGUGGAGUAUGUGGUUUAAUUCGAUGCAACGCGAAGAACCUUACCUGGUCUUGACAUCCCGGAGACCCUUAGGAAACUAGGGGGUGCUUCCAUCUGGAAGAAUCUGGAGACAGGUGCUGCAUGGCUGUCGUCAGCUCGUGUCGUGAGAUGUUGGGUUAAGUCCCGCAACGAGCGCAACCCUUGCCUUUAGUUGCCAGCAGUUCGGCUGGGCACUCUAAAGGGACUGCCGGUGUUAAACCGGAGGAAGGUGGGGAUGACGUCAAGUCCUCAUGGCCUUUAUGACCAGGGCUACACACGUACUACAAUGGCCGAUACAAAGGGCAGCGACACUGCGAGGUGAAGCCAAUCCCGUAAAAUCGGUCUCAGUCCGGAUUGGAGUCUGCAACUCGACUCCAUGAAGUUGGAAUCGCUAGUAAUCGUGGAUCAGCAUGCCACGGUGAAUACGUUCCCGGGCCUU